AUGGCCUGGGCUCUGCUCCUUGUCACCCUCCUCACUCAGGACACAGGAUCCUGGGCCCAGUCUGGCCUGACUCAGCCUCCCUCAGUGUCCGGGAAUCUGGGACAGACGGUCACCAUCUCUUGUGCUGGAACCAGCAGUGACAUAGGGAGAUAUAACUAUGUUGGCUGGUACCAACAACUCCCAGGCACGGCCCCCAAAACCCUGAUUUACGAUGUCAAUAAACGGCCCUCAGGGAUCCCUGAUCGCUUCUCUGGCUCCAAGUCUGGCAACACGGCCUCGCUGACCAUCUCUGGGCUCCAGGCGGAGGACGAGGCCGUUUAUUACUGUAGCUCGUUUGACCUGCAUCUGAGUGGGCUGAGCCUGGGAGGCAAUGACAUUGGGAAAUAUAAUGCUGUUGGCUGGUACCAACUGCGCCCAGGCACAGCCUCCAAAACCCUGAUUUAUGACGUGAAUAAAGGGCCCUCAGGGAUCCCUGACCGCUUCUCUGGAUCCAAGUCUGCGAACACGGCCUCCCUGACCAUCCCUGAGCUCCAGAAAUUUCCCAGUUUUACCACUGAAACUGCCGUGUCCUGGCUGGACCUCAUUGUGGGGCAAAUCAGCGUGGAUGGUCACUGA